rnacentral:rRNA from 1 species
AGUGAACGCUGGCGGUAGGCCUAACACAUGCAAGUCGAACGGCAGCACAGUAAGAGCUUGCUCUUACGGGUGGCGAGUGGCGGACGGGUGAGGAAUACAUCGGAAUCUACUUUUUCGUGGGGGAUAACGUAGGGAAACUUACGCUAAUACCGCAUACGACCUACGGGUGAAAGCAGGGGAUCUUCGGACCUUGCGCGAUUGAAUGAGCCGAUGUCGGAUUAGCUAGUUGGCGGGGUAAAGGCCCACCAAGGCGACGAUCCGUAGCUGGUCUGAGAGGAUGAUGAGCCACACUGGAACGGAGACACGGUCCAGACUCCUACGGGAGGCAGCAGUGGGGAAUAUUGGACAAUGGGCGCAAGCCUGAUCCAGCCAUACCGCGUGGGUGAAGAAGGCCUUCGGGUUGUAAAGCCCUUUUGUUGGGAAAGAAAAGCAGCAGGUUAAUACCCCGCUGUUCUGACGGUACCCAAAGAAUAAGCACCGGCUAACUUCGUG